GGGGAUAUAGCUCAGUGGGAGAGUAUUUGCCUAGCUUGCACAAUGCCCUGGGUUUCAUCCCCAGUACCACAA
rnacentral:tRNA from 1 species